rnacentral:tRNA from 3 species
GGCUAAGUAGCUCAGCUGGUUAGAGCACAUCACUCAUAAUGAUGGGGUCGCAGGUUCGAGUCCCGCCUUAGCCACCA